UACGUAGGGUGCGAGCGUUGUCCGGAAUUAUUGGGCGUAAAGAGCUCGUAGGCGGUUUGUUGCGUCGGCUGUGAAAUCCCGAGGCUCAACCUCGGGUCUGCAGUCGAUACGGGCAAACUAGAGUGUUGCAGGGGAGACUGGAAUUCCUGGUGUAGCGGUGAAAUGCGCAGAUAUCAGGAGGAACACCGGUGGCGAAGGCGGGUCGCUGGGCAGGAUCUGACGCUGAGGAGCGAAAGCGUGGGGAGCGAACGGG
rnacentral:rRNA from 1 species